rnacentral:rRNA from 1 species
CCCAGACUCCUACGGGAGGCAGCAGUGAGGAAUAUUGGUCAAUGGGCGCGAGCCUGAACCAGCCAAGUCGCGUGAGGGAGGACGGCCCUACGGGUUGUAAACCUCUUUUGCCGGGGAGCAACGGGCGUCACGUGUGGCGCCACUGAGAGUACCCGGAGAAAAAGCAUCGGCUAACUCCGUGCCAGCAGCCGCGGUAAUACGGAGGAUGCGAGCGUUAUCCGGAUUUAUUGGGUUUAAAGGGUGCGUAGGUGGUUAAUUAAGUCAGCGGUGAAAGUUUGUGGCUCAACCAUAAAAUUGCCGUUGAAACUGGUUGACUUGAGUAUAUUUGAGGUAGGCGGAAUGCGUGGUGUAGCGGUGAAAUGCAUAGAUAUCACGCAGAACUCCGAUUGCGAAGGCAGCUUACUAAACGAUAACUGACACUGAAGCACGAAAGCGUGGGGAUCAAACAGGAUUAGAUACCCCAGUACGA